rfam:Schistosoma mattheei strain Denwood, Zambia genome assembly, scaffold: SMTD_scaffold0001956
UUUACUUCUCGGCUCUCUGAGCUAAGAUCAUGUGUAGUAUCUGUUCUUUGCUGUGUAAUUUCUGCAACAGUCUCUAAACCGAGACCAACGAAAUUACCUGUAUUUUUCGCAUUCGAAGAGGUGAUGUCAGUUUACUCAACCCCGUCCACGUGUUGGCCUCGUAUUGUAUGACGAUGUUAUGUACAUAAAAA